rnacentral:lncRNA from 1 species
CAUCCGAUAUAACACCCAAAACAUAUUGCAAAAUAGUGAUGUAAUCCUGUCAGUAAUUACGACAACAUACAAUAGAACAUUGGCUAUUAUUAUAACUAGUUUGAAAAUUAGUUAAUUAUUAGAUCGUUUUUGGGGCUAGCGGUGUGUACGCGCAUACCAUUAUAGGACUUCGGUUCUUGCACUUACUGAUACCAUGUUUCCUAGUGCCUCCAACUCCUACUGAUCACAUAUUUUCCAUGUUCACAUAUUAGGCUAGUUUGUAAGGGACGACCAUCGCAGG